GGAUAUAGCUCAGUGGUAGAGCAUGUGCUUGGCACGCAUGAGGUCCUAGGUUCAAUCCUCAGUACCUCCG
rnacentral:tRNA from 1 species